UGUUUUGGAAUGUUAUACAUCCGCCUAUGGU
rnacentral:piRNA from 1 species